GAUCACCGAAGUUAAGCAACAUCGCGCCUGGUCAGUACUUAGAUGGGUGACAGCUUUGGAAUACCAGGUACAGCAAG